rnacentral:rRNA from 1 species
UGGGUUUGACAUGUUCCUGACCCCCCUGGAAACAGGGGUUCCCUUCGGGGCAGGAUCACAGGUGGUGCAUGGCUGUCGUCAGCUCGUGUCGUGAGAUGUUGGGUUAAGUCCCGCAACGAGCGCAACCCCCGUCGUAUGUUGCCAGCAUUUAGUUGGGUACUCAUACGAGACUGCCGGUGACAAACCGGAGGAAGGUGGGGAUGACGUCAAGUCAUCAUGCCCCUUAUGUCCAGGGCUACACA